UUUGACUGAGUGAGAGAUUGAGACUCUGAUCUAAAGUAACAUCAUAUCCCAACAGGUCUGUGUACACUGACGACUGUCUGGGUCCCGGGAAUCUCAAGAUGGUUCAGCUGGCGCGGCAGUUUGGCUCGGCGGUGAAGUUACCAGGCAGCGGGGGGGCCGUGGUGGGUCUGUGUGUGGACGAAGCGAAACUGGUGGAGAUGAGACAAGCUUUCCAGGAGGCCGGCUGUGUCUUCUGUGUCAUCGCACCUUACAACCCAUCUGCCGGCUCUGUCGGCAGCCAACACUAACCUCACGUCUCCCCACGACUCAGUCAGGCUGCUCGGGGCCAACCCGGGGCCAUCAGUUUCUCAGAGGCCUAAUGUCAUUUCACAGGACUGAUAUUACAGCAAAGGUCAUCGUCAGUUCUGUUAAAUAUUCUAAUAAAAAUCAGGGUUUCUAUACGAUUAACUCUUUGGUGAUAGUUUGGGUUAUAAUUUAACAGAUUGAUCAAAUAAUGUUUAGUCAAACAUUAAGCACUUUGUUCCUGGAAAAUUAGUGAAUCUGCAUGUUUCAAAGUUUUGUAGCAGAUUAUGUGAGAUUACGGAUUUAUGGCUGUUUACGGUAAAGUCAGAAUGAGAAUCAGAAAAAGAUUUAUUGCCAGGUAUAGUUAACACAAUACGAGGAAUUUGUUCUGGUGGGU